UCCUCUUUGGCUGCUACCAUGGCCAGCCAGCCACCAUCUGGUCCCUGGGCAUCCUGCUCUAUCACCUGGUCUGCGGGCACCUUCCUUUCCACACAAACGAGGACAUCGUCCGGGGCCAGCUCUUCUUCCCGCCCCGGGUGUCUCAAGAGUGCCAGCACCUCAUCAGGUGGUGUUUAUCCAUGGACCCCACAGACAGGCCAUCACUGGAAGACCUUUUUGAGCAUUCUUGGCUGCAGGAGCCCUGCCUGGCCCAGGAGACAGCAGAGAUCCAUCCCUGUGCUCAGUAGGAUCCAGGAGCCCAGCAAGUACCAGCUGCACGCGUCUGGUGGCACUCCAAGAAAACCCCGGAGCGUUUCCCUGCGGCCACAGCACGGAGGAGAGAGCGCAGCCGAGGAGAUGCUUCCGCUGGUCCCCGGCGAGUUGUGGAGGGAGCGGCUCAGUGCUCCCCGUGCCACUGGAGAAGUGGUGGCAGUGCGGUGAAGGUGCCACAGACUGGAACAGGGGAAACAUCCCCCUGCAGCUCAAUGGCAUCGGGAUGUCCCCGCAAGCCGAGGCACAGCUGGCGUGUUCUUCUGGAGCACCACGUGGAGCUGGGAACACCAUCCUGGAGCUGGCCGCUGGCGGGGCAAAGCCGAGCGGCUUUGGCUGCGGCCCCUUCCUGGAGGACACGCUCUGCGCCCCGAUGAAAUCAAGAUGAGUCCCCAGCCGGCGCAGGGGCGGGGGGAUGCUCGUGCUUCCAGGCAUGGCAGGGCUCGGCCUGGCCACGCGCCGCAGGUUCCCCGCUCGGCGGCGCUGGGGAAUAUUAAUUUUUCACCGGCUGCCAAGAUGCUUUUUGGUGGGAUAGGGGACAGAUGUUGUGGAAGGGGAGCCGGCUCCUGGCCUUGCUGACAGCUUCUGCCAGCCAGCCUGGCACGGGCUGGGGCGGGGGCAGCCAGCCUGACAAAGCAUCCAUCCAUGUGGAUGGGGGCAGCAGAGGGGGACGGGUUCCGAAGCCGUGCCCCAGCUGGUCUGCUUUGCAGGCCCUCGAGGAAGGGGUGCGUUUACGGGUGGGAAAGGUGGGGUUUUUCCCCACCCGUGGACAGGUUUCAUUCUCGCAUGGAGUGGUCUGAUGCUCCUCAGCCCGUGAAACGGUGACAGGCUGUGUAGGUUUUUCUUGUUUCCAGGUCUUGUUUUGAAUUGACUUCAUGCAAUUGUUCUUUAUUUUCCCAGGAAGAUUACACCUGGUGCCCGGACUGGACGAGGAAGCACCUGCACCAUCCGUGGAGCACAUCCAGUGCCAGCGCUACCCCAGGGGCCACGGUCUGCAGGGACAUCCCCUUCAAGAAGGACGAGGACCUCGUGUGGGAUCGGCUCCUCUCCUGGCAGCAGGUCUGCAGAGGCUGCCAGCACCUCAUGCCAUGGAAACGGCUCUGCUCGGCCUGCCAGGCUGGGAGGGCUGGAGGGCGGCGGGUGUUCAUUUGCUGUCAGAAAUAAAUCGUUCUAUUUUUUUGUCAUCGUCAUGAUCAGAGCAUUUCUUUCAUCCUUUUCCAAGCUUUUGGCCUCCCUUCCUCCAGGGUAAUCUUUUUGUGUCCUUCCUCAGCCACUUGAUGGCAUUUGGCAGGGGGGGUUAAGCAAUGUGAAAAGUUCAACAACAGCUCCUGUUGCCAACUGCAGCAGCCCCUUCAAGAGCCCUGAGCUUCCAGCGAGGUCCACGUGUGCCUUGCAAAAGGGAGUGGU